AACGAACGCUGGCGGCAGGCUUAACACAUGCAAGUCGAGCGAGACCUUCGGGUCUAGCGGCGGACGGGGGAGUAACGCGUGGGAACGUGCCCUUCUCUACGGAAUAGCCCCGGGAAACUGGGAGUAAUACCGGAUACGCCCUUCGGGGGAAAGAUUUAUCGGAGAAGGAUCGGCCCGCGUUGGUUUAGGUGGUUGGUGGGGUAAUGGCCCACCAAGCCGACGAUCCAUAGCGGGUUUGAGAGGAUGAUCAGCCACACUGGGACUGAGACGCGGCCCAGACUCCUACGGGAGGCAGCAGUGGGGAAUCUUAGACAAUGGGGGCAACCCUGAUCUAGCCAUGCCGCGUGAGUGAUGAAGGCCUUAGGGUUGUAAAGCUCUUUCAGCUGGGAAGAUAAUGACGGUACCAGCAGAAGAAGCCCCGGCUAACUCCGUG
rnacentral:rRNA from 1 species